rnacentral:rRNA from 1 species
AUGGGGAUGCGUUCCAUUAGAUAGUAGGCGGGGUAACGGCCCACCGUAGUCUUCGAUGGAUAGGGGUUCUGAGAGGAAGGUCCCCCACAUUGGAACUGAGACACGGUCCAAACUCCUACGGGAGGCAGCAGUGAGGAAUAUUGGUCAAUGGGCGAGAGCCUGAACCAGCCAAGUAGCGUGAAGGAUGACUGCCCUAUGGGUUGUAAACUUCUUUUAUAAAGGAAUAAAGUCGGGUAUGGAUACCCGUUUGCAUGUACUUUAUGAAUAAGGAUCGGCUAACUCCGUGCCAGCAGCCGCGGUAAUACGGAGGAUCCGAGCGUUAUCCGGAUUUAUUGGGUUUAAAGGGAGCGUAGAUGGAUGUUUAAGUCAGUUGUGAAAGUUUGCGGCUCAACCGUAAAAUUGCAGUUGAUACUGGAUAUCUUGAGUGCAGUUGAGGCAGGCGGAAUUCGUGGUGUAGCGGUGAAAUGCUU